rnacentral:rRNA from 1 species
CCCUUAGAUGUUCUGGGCUGCACGCGCGCUACACUGACGAUGGCAACGAGUUUUUCCUUCGCCGAAAGGUGUGGGUAAUCUUUUGAAACAUCGUCGUGCUGGGGAUAGAUCAUUGCAAUUUUUGAUCUUGAACGAGGAAUUCCUAGUAAGCGCGAGUCAUCAGCUCGCGUUGAUUACGUCCCUGCCCUUUGUACACACCGCCCGUCGCUACUACCGACUGAAUGGUUUAGUGAGGACUCCUGAUUGGCGCCGCCGCCCCGGCAACGGAGCAGCGGACUGCCGAAAAGUUGUUCAAACUUGAUCAUUUAGAGGAAGUAAAAGUCGUAACA